GAGUUUGAUCCUGGCUCAGAUUGAACGCUGGCGGCAGGCCUAACACAUGCAAGUCGAGCGGUAACAGAUCCAGCUUGCUGGAUGCUGACGAGCGGCGGACGGGUGAGUAAUGCAUAGGAAUCUGCCCGAUAGUGGGGGAUAACCUGGGGAAACCCAGGCUAAUACCGCAUACGUCCUACGGGAGAAAGGGGGCUCCGGCUCCCGCUAUGGGAUGAGCCUAUGUCGGAUUAGCUAGUUGGUGAGGUAACGGCUCACCAAGGCCACGAUCCGUAGCUGGUCUGAGAGGAUGAUCAGCCACAUCGGGACUGAGACACGGCCCGAACUCCUACGGGAGGCAGCAGUGGGGAAUAUUGGACAAUGGGGGCAACCCUGAUCCAGCCAUGCCGCGUGUGUGAAGAAGGCCCUCGGGUUGUAAAGCACUUUCAGCGAGGAAGAACGCCUAGCGGUUAAUACCCGCUAGGAAAGACAUCACUCGCAGAAGAAGCACCGGCUAACUCCGUGCCAGCAGCCGCGGUAAUACGGAGGGUGCAAGCGUUAAUCGGAAUUACUGGGCGUAAAGCGCGCGUAGGUGGCUUGAUAAGCCGGUUGUGAAAGCCCCGGGCUCAACCUGGGAACGGCAUCCGGAACUGUCAAGCUAGAGUGCAGGAGAGGAAGGUAGAAUUCCCGGUGUAGCGGUGAAAUGCGUAGAGAUCGGGAGGAAUACCAGUGGCGAAGGCGGCCUUCUGGACUGACACUGACACUGAGGUGCGAAAGCGUGGGUAGCAAACAGGAUUAGAUACCCUGGUAGUCCACGCCGUAAACGAUGUCGACCAGCCGUUGGGUGCCUAGCGCACUUUGUGGCGAAGUUAACGCGAUAAGUCGACCGCCUGGGGAGUACGGCCGCAAGGUUAAAACUCAAAUGAAUUGACGGGGGCCCGCACAAGCGGUGGAGCAUGUGGUUUAAUUCGAUGCAACGCGAAGAACCUUACCUACUCUUGACAUCCUGCGAAUUUGGUAGAGAUACCUUAGUGCCUUCGGGAACGCAGAGACAGGUGCUGCAUGGCUGUCGUCAGCUCGUGUUGUG
rnacentral:rRNA from 1 species